UACGGAGGGUGCAAGCGUUAUCCGGAAUUAUUGGGCGUAAAGCGAGUCUAGGCGGCUUGUUAAGUCAGAUGUGAAAAUGCGGGGCUCAACUCCGUAUUGCGUUUGAAACUGGCAGACUAGAGUUUUGGAGAGGGGAGUGGAAUUCCAGGUGUAGCGGUGAAAUGCGUAGAUAUCUGGAGGAACAUCAGUGGCGAAGGCAGUCUACUACGUAUAUACUGACGCUCAUGGACGAAAGCGUGGGGAGCGAACAGG
rnacentral:rRNA from 1 species